CCUACGGGGGGCUGCAGUGGGGAAUAUUGGACAAUGGGCGAAAGCCUGAUCCAGCCAUGCCGCGUGUGUGAAGAAGGUCUUCGGAUUGUAAAGCACUUUAAGUUGGGAGGAAGGGUAGUAACCUAAUACGUUGCUACUUUGACGUUACCGACAGAAUAAGCACCGGCUAACUUCGUGCCAGCAGCCGCGGUAAUACGAAGGGUGCAAGCGUUAAUCGGAAUUACUGGGCGUAAAGCGCGCGUAGGUGGUUCAGUAAGUUGGAAGUGAAAUCCCCG
rnacentral:rRNA from 1 species